CGGGAAUUUGUUCUUAGUAGUUCAUGAUAUAGUGUCCAUCCGUACCUGUGUUUGAUGGCUGGUCUUGCAAUUCUUAAGUCAUUUUUGCCUCAAUGUUUAUUUUUAACAGCAUACAAAAUGACUAUCAUCUCAGGUAUUUCUAGGCUGCAGUGAGGCCCAAGGCAUUACAUCACUAGUCAGGUGUUGGACGGGAACCUGUCUACUUCAAUCUGCAGGAACAACGGCUAAAUUUGGGGGAGAUUGUUCUCCACAGGGCUGCAGGGAAUUGUUCCAGGUCUUUCUAGGUUGCAGUGUGGCCCAAGGCAUUACAUCACUAGUAAGGUGUUUGACGGUAACCUGGCUACUUCAAUGUGCAGGAACAACGUAUGGGUGCGAAGAAGAUCAUUCUCCACAGGGCUGCAGGGAAUUGUUCCAGGACAUAUACCUUGUGAAAUUCCCUGAUGUAUACCUCCAAAGAACUAGUGUGAAAAGCAGAACUAUUUUGAGAUUUAUGGCACAGGAGAGGAGCAUAGAAAGAGAAUAAACAACAAGUUGUCUUUACUGAUCCGCCAGUUUAGACUUACACAUGGAUAAACUGUUCUCAAAAGAAUUUUCAAAGAACAUGGAAUGUGUAACUUGAACACAAAGUAUUAAUGCAAU